rnacentral:rRNA from 1 species
AAAGUCGUAACAAGGUUUCCGUAGGUGAACCUGCGGAAGGAUCAUUACCUAGAGUUGUAGGCUUUGCCUGCUAUCUCUUACCCAUGUCUUUUGAGUACCUUCGUUUCCUCGGCGGGUCCGCCCGCCGAUUGGACACAUUUAAACCCUUUGUAGUUGCAAUCAGCGUCUGAAAAACUUUAAUAGUUACAACUUUCAACAACGGAUCUCUUGGUUCUGGCAUCGAUGAAGAACGCAGCGAAAUGCGAUAAGUAGUGUGAAUUGCAGAAUUCAGUGAAUCAUCGAAUCUUUGAACGCACAUUGCGCCCCUUGGUAUUCCAUGGGGCAUGCCUGUUCGAGCGUCAUUUGUACCUUCAAGCUUUGCUUGGUGUUGGGUGUUUGUCUCGCCUCUGCGCGCAGACUCGCCUCAAAACAAUUGGCAGCCGGCGUAUUGAUUUCGGAGCGCAGUACAUCUCGCGCUUUGCACUCAUAACGACGACGUCCAAAAAGUACAUUUUUUACACUCUUGACCUCGGAUCAGGUAGGGAUAGCCGCUAGAAC